AGUGUCGCCGUGGCGAUCGCAGCCGACAGUCAGGUUGUGAGACAGCGGGAUCUUCACCUGAAACCACACCUCUCUGCCCUGAGGGAGGAGAGGAAGAGGAGCAGGGAUGAAGCACAGCUACUGCCACUGGUAGGAUACCGGAGCACAUUGUUUGUGAAAGACUACAUCACUUUACUUUAUUAAUAAUAAUACUUUUAUUUAAAUAAUACUUCAAGCAGUGAUCCAAAGGGCUUUCCAGUCCAGGGGGGUUUGAAAACAAAUAAGUGUAGUUGUGAGAAAGGAAGGAGUUGUCAAUUAAAAAUGUGUUUGAGACAGGAUGAUGCUGACGUCAGAACAACCACAAACAGAUAAAACAUCCACAAAAACAUCAUUAAAGACCACGGAGAAACACAAAACAAUCCCAUAGAGUCGUAAAAUGAACGACUAACAAACAAAACGCCCACAGAGACCCCCCCGAAAACAUCUCAGAGGCUUAAAACACCCACAUCAAAGUCCAAAACAAUCCCAAAGAACAGCCACGAAAACAAG